GAGAGCUGAAAGCUGCAGAUGCAGGAACAUACAGGUGUGGAGUGAACGUAUCUGACUAUACUGAGAGCUUCACUGAACUACAGCUGAGCGUCAGACACGAUUUCUCGAUGAUCAUCAUUAUUAGUGUGUGUGUGAUUCUGCUGCUGAUCGGUGGAUUCACUCUGACUGUGUGCAAAUUAAGACACAAGAGACAAGAUCCUGGAUCAGUCCAAAGUCAUGAUGAAUUACCCACAAUCCCCUCUGAUGAGCUCCUGUACGCUGCUGUCAGUUUCCAGAAACAUGAAGAGUCUCUCAGUGAAGCUACAGUCAGAUUCAGUAAGAUUGAGACUGACUCUGAUUAUGCUGCACUCAGUCACCGCAUGACACUCAACUAACUCACUUAUAACAGAUCACAGGUCAUAAUACAUUACAACAGUAAAAAUAGGCUUUUAAGGUUGUUUUUUUUUCUGCUUACACUCUUUUAUUAAAAUCUCUUCAUAAUCCAUAAUUUAGUGUUGACAGUUGUUGGGUUUGAUGAGGGUUGUUUAGUUCAGUUUGUGAAUCAUGAGACAAGUUUCCGCUGCUACUCAUGUUGCUUCUUUCAGGUGUUUAAAAUAGUUUGUCAUGUCAGUUUAUGUGAGGGUGUUAUGAAGACAGGAAAUAAACCCCUUGACUGACACUUCUAGAAGAUACUAUAAAGUUUCCACUCCAAAUCUUUUGACACAUACUGUAUAUAUAUUUAAUAAAGUCACUUUUUAUUAGCAGCUCUUAAACAGACACGAGUUGAACAAACUUUUAUGAUGAGACACAUGAAGCUGGAGAAUCAUCAUUUGUACAACUGUUAAAAUGAU